GGGGAUGUGGCUUAGUGGUAGAGUGCUUGCCUAGCAUGCAUGAGGCAUUCGGUUUGAUCCUCAGCACCA
rnacentral:tRNA from 1 species